GACCCAAUGGUGUAGCUGGUAACACGCCUGCCAUUCUUGAAAGUGCAAGAAGGUUUACGCAGGAGUCCCUCGUUCGAUUCGAGGUUGGGUCA